AGGGGUGUAGCUCAAGGGUAGAGCAUUUGACUACAGAUCAAGCGGUCCCUGGCUCGAAUCCGGGUGCCCCUU
rfam:Pteropus alecto contig91355, whole genome shotgun sequence.